rnacentral:tRNA from 1 species
GCGCAAGUGGCGGAACUGGUAGACGCGCCAGGUUUAGGUCCUGGUGCCUUCGGGCGUGCGGGUUCGAGUCCCGCCUUGCGCA